UAAUGUGAAUAUUGCAAGAGAAUGAGAAUAAUUAAGCUAGCAAAAACUGUGUUGAGGGUGAAAGCAAUGGAGAUCCAGAACAUUAAAAGUGACAUAGGUUAUACUUGUAUGACACCAAGAAAUAGGUAAUGAAUAGUCUACAGAUGACUUGUCCAAAUACAAAGAUUAUAUGUAGCAAUGGCUUGCAUUCAGUAGGUAUGAAUGGGCAAUGCAAAACUGAGUUACAAUUCAUCAUUUGUCGUCGAAUAACAUAGCGCACGCAUAGCACUACUAAUCACUCAAAAUUCACAUUAUAAUGCAAUGGGUGCAAGUAGAUGGACAUGAUCCACUUUGUUGAUCAUUUUUUCAGAAAAGAAAACACCUCCCCAUCUUUUGAGCAAGUUAUUAUCAUAAUUUGUGAGAGUCGUUGCAUUCAUUGAUCUCAAGAUAACAGAGCAUGUAUAUAUAUGAAAACUCUAUAAAAUAUAGUCAUUUAAUUUC
rnacentral:lncRNA from 1 species